rnacentral:lncRNA from 13 species
AAACCUCAUUCAAUGAAGCAGACAGGUGUAGUUAAAGCAAUCGUCAGUCACCCCCGUUACUUUGAUCCCUUUCCGGACUUCCGGUUUCAAGAAAAUAACAUCACUUUUAGAACAGAUGAUUUGCUGUUAUUAGGCACUAUGCAUAAUAAGGGACAUAACUUAAAUUACAUUUGGGACGUUUUAAAAUGGGUUAAAAAGCAGUAGCAGUUUAGCAAGACGAUUUUAUAAUAACAACCCUGCCGAUUGACAACACAAAAUCGGUCGCGCUGCACAUGCGUCAUUUUUGACCUAGCGCCUUGACGUGACAUCCGAGCCUAGCAGGGCAGUGUACAGGGAAGCAUAAAGUGCCUUAGACAGAAUGAGUGUCACCAACUACACAGAGGAAAGUAUGAGCAAGAUGGACAAAAGCAGUUCCUCUGGAUGUACACAGGAGGAAAACGUCCUUCAGCUGGAAAGACAUGGUCAUGUUCCUUGAGGGAGAGGACUGCUAGCAUUGAAAGUACGAACAACACGUGCUCCGGUCGUUAAAGAACGAGCGUAUCUUUGCUUGGCAGCCCGGCGAAGACCUGUCCACGGAGUAGAUGUGUGAGGUCACGUUCAGACGCUGCAAUCAGCUGUUCCGAUGUUUGGUGGGACAGUGGCCAACUCCGGAUCCCAGAGACAUAGCCGAGUCAGAGACCCCAAGACUGCUGGUGAUGCCAGGAGUGAUGGUAGGAGAUACGGGGGAAAAACUGGGUGAGAACGGACUGGACAAUGAACAGGUUUGCAGUGUUUCACAAAGUCCCUCUGGAAAUAUGCUCAAUAAGAUCAGUGAUGUCACCCUGAGGGAUACUCCGUCAUUCAUUUUUAAGGUGAGGAAACACACCUGCAUGCACACACACACACACACACACACACACACACACACANNNNNNNNNNCCCCCCCCCCCCCCUGCUCUCAGAACAGCCUCUUGUUGUCGGGGCAUGGACUCUAUGAGUUGUCGAACGUGUUCCACAGGGAUACUGGCCCAUGUUGA